AGGUCUACCACGCUUCAGGCGUAUCUUAGAUUCAUUUGUUAACUGUCCUACAGGGACAUCAAUCCGUGCUGGAGUAUUUGCAACCCGGAUAUGUGACUUUGUUACUUUCUUUGUAUCAAUGAAUGCAUCUAGUAAUUGAUUUGCAAUAUUUUGCAAAUGAAUGAUCCUUUGAACUUCUAGUUCACAUUGAUUUGUACAAUGAUCAAGAUAAGUCAUAGUAGAUGUCUUCCAACU
rnacentral:lncRNA from 1 species